rnacentral:misc_RNA from 1 species
UUUCCGUAGGUGAACCUGCGGAAGGAUCAUUAUAGAGAAAUGUGUGAUUGAGGUGGAUCCUUUGGGAGACAUCUCGUCAUGCUCAUACACACCUCUGUGCACCGUUAUCACACACUUUGAGUCUAUUGAACGUGAACUAUGAUAAUCAAUAAAACUUUCAACAACGGAUCUCUUGGCUCUCGCAUCGAUGAAGAACGCAGC